GGGAGGAGAAGGCACCCCAAAUCUCCCAGACAAACGUAGCAGCCAAAUAGAACUGUAGUCAGCCUUAGAGUGCCAAAGUGAAACAAGGAACCCGGGCUGCAGGUGCUUUUGGGUAUGUAAAGCAACAGGAGCUUUGAAGAUACUGUGAGGAAAACAGCAUGGAGCAUAGAGAGUAUUUAAGUUCAUGAUUUUUGGAUUGUGGGUUUGGGAGUGGUGCCACUCACAAUAACACGCUUGGACUCAGUGUGAAGCCAGAGACUCAAGGACCUAGGCACACUCAGGAGAGGACAAGUAGCCGACUUGCUGGGAGUUGGCCCAUAUAACACAAAGCUCAUAUGUUGUUUUUGGUUUACUUUAUUGCAGCUGACUGAGAGGUUAACAGGCAAUUGUGGCAGAGGUGCUCUGAGGCAUACUCAUUUCAGGUCCAGCAUGGACUCACAUCACCGGUCAUCCAAAAGAUAAGUUGGGGGCCACCGCCUGGAGAUGGGAUGAUAGGAGAGUAGUGGGUUGGAAAUUCCUGGGACAGAUUUAAAAAUUAGCAGGGGGAAAAGCAAUGCCCUCUCAAGACACCCAAAAGGAGAGGCUCUACCUUUGCUAACAGCUGCAGGGUGCGCAGUGCAGAACAGUUCCAGUCUGUGUUGUGUUGUCCGGUGUAUACUGUGUUACCUAGUGUGUCUUUGGGGUCCCUCGGAUCAGAUAUCUCUGCCUCUUUCCCCUCGAGGCCCUUACCACAAGCAUCAGCCGUAGGUUCUUGAACGCUCGCACUUCUCUGCAUGAUGCCGAUAUCAUUUGUUCUUUUACUGGCGGGCUCGGCCGUGUUUCCGAGUCACAUCGCAGAAGCGUCGAGUAGGACAUGUUCUGAGGCCUUGCUCCCAGCCAUAUCACCAUCCAUCUUUUCUAGCCAUGGGCUGUAA